rnacentral:tRNA from 1 species
GCUGUGGCUCAGUGAUAGAGCACUUGCCUGUCAUGUCAAGGCCCUGAGUUCAAUCCCCAGCACUGCA